rnacentral:rRNA from 1 species
UACGGGGGGGGCAAGCGUUGUUCGGAAUUACUGGGCGUAAAGGGCUCGUAGGUGGCCAACUAAGUCAGACGUGAAAUCCCUCAGCUUAACUGGGGAACUGCGUCUGAUACUGGAUGGCUUGAGUUUGGGAGAGGGAUGCGGAAUUCCAGGUGUAGCGGUGAAAUGCGUAGAUAUCGGGAGGAACGCCGGUGGCGAAAGCGGCACGCUGGACCUUUUCUGACGCUGAGGCGCGAAAGCCAGGGGAGCAAACGGG